rnacentral:rRNA from 1 species
GAUGAACGCUGGCGGCGUGCCUAAUACAUGCAAGUCGAGCGAACAGAUGAGGAGCUUGCUCCUCUGACGUUAGCGGCGGACGGGUGAGUAACACGUGGAUAACCUACCUAUAAGACUGGGAUAACUUCGGGAAACCGGAGCUAAUACCGGAUAAUAUAUUGAACCGCAUGGUUCAAUAGUGAAAGACGGUUUUGCUGUCACUUAUAGAUGGAUCCGCGCCGGAUUAGCUAGUUGGUAAGGUAACGGCUUACCAAGGCAACGAUGCGUAGCCGACCUGAGAGGGGGAAUGGCCACCCUGGAACUUGAGCCCCGUCCCAACUCCUACGGGGGGGAGCCGGUGGGAAUUUUUCGGAAUGGGCCGAAGCCUGGCCGAGGCACCGCGCGGGGGUUAAGAAGGGUCUCCGAUCCGUAAACCUUUGUAUUAGGGAAAGACCAAUGUUGAAGGUACCUUUCACGUCUUGACGGUUCCUAAUCCGAAAGGCCCGGCUUACUUCCUG